ACCUCUUGAUUAGGACAUUGCAUGAUCUUCUCAUUAAAUCUCUCCCACACCUCAUAUAGAGGUUCUCCAUUAAAUUGAUGAAAAUUGGUGAUUUCCUCAUGCAAUU
rnacentral:snoRNA from 1 species